rnacentral:rRNA from 1 species
CCUACGGGAGGCAGCAGUGGGGAAUAUUGCACAAUGGGCGCAAGCCUGAUGCAGCGACGCCGCGUGAGGGAUGACGGCCUUCGGGUUGUAAACCUCUUUCAGCAGGGACGAAGCGCAAGUGACGGUACCUGCAGAAGAAGCACCGGCCAACUACGUGCCAGCAGCCGCGGUAAUACGUAGGGUGCAAGCGUUGUCCGGAAUUACUGGGCGUAAAGAGCUCGUAGGCGGUUUGUCGCGUCGUCUGUGAAAACCAGCAGCUCAACUGUUGGCUUGCAGGCGAUACGGGCAGACUUGAGUAUUUCAGGGGAGACUGGAAUUCCUGGUGUAGCGGUGAAAUGCGCAGAUAUCAGGAGGAACACCGGUGGCGAAGGCGGGUCUCUGGGAAAUAACUGACGCUGAGGAGCGAAAGCGUGGGUAGCGAACAGGAUUAGAUACCCUGGUAGUCCACGCCGUAAACGGUGGGCGCUAGGUGUGGGUUUCCUUCCACGGGAUCCGUGCCGUAGCUAACGCAUUAAGCGCCCCGCCUGGGGGAGGACGGCCGCGAGAACGUAAACGUUAAAGUUAAGUUAGUAGNGNGNGNGNGCGACGACGACGACGACGGAGGAGGAG